GUUAAAGGCAGGCCUCCUGCUGGUGGGC
rnacentral:piRNA from 1 species